rnacentral:rRNA from 1 species
AGUGAACGCUGGCGGCAGGCCUAACACAUGCAAGUCGAACGGCAGCACAGUAAGAGCUUGCGCUUACGGGUGGCGAGUGGCGGGCGGGUGAGGAAUAUAUCGGAAUCUACUUUUUCGAGGGUCAUAACGUAGGGAAACUUACGCUAAUACCGCAUACGACCUACGGGUGAAAGCAGGGGAUCUUCGGACCUUGCGCGAGUGUAUGAGCCGAUGUCGAAUUAGCUAGUUGGCGGGGUAAAGGCCCACCAAGGCGACGAUCCGUAGCUGGUCUGAGAGGAUGAUCAGCCACACUGGAACUGAGACACGGUCCAGACUCCUACGGGAGGCAGCAGUGGGGAAUAUUGGACAAUGGGCGCAAGCCUGAUCCAGCCAUGCCGCGUGUGUGAAGAAGGCCUUCGGGUUGUAAAGCCCUUUUGUUGGGAAAGAACAGCAGUAGGUUAAUACCUCGCUGUUCUGACGGUACCCAAAGAAUAAGCACCGGCUAACUUCGUG